UCUACUUAUAUAACAAUUGCUGCAAUUUUUAAAAUAUAUUUUUUACUUCAUGCUUAGCACAUAAACUGAAAUAGUUGCAGGAAAUAAGUUCAGCUACAAGUGUCACAUCUGUACCAGCACUCAGAACUCCUUUCUUCUGUUCUGAUCUACAGCUGCAGGAAAGAGACACCUGGUAACCAUUCCAUGCCUGUGUCAGAGGAGAGCACUGGUGGGAAGGAAGGUGUACCUUUGCACACCGUGGACACAUUGGAAUCUGGACAGAUUUUUUCCUCUAGAUGAAGCAUUUUGACGUCCUUAUCCUGCUGCUAAAGAAGCCUAGGAGAAGCUGAGGAACAGUCCAGAAGGGUUUCUUGAAAUCUUACUUUUAACUAUUAUUUUUGGUGCAGCAACACUCAAAAUUUCCUUUCAAGGCCCUUUCUCCCACUAUAAUAAGAGAUACAUCUGUUUCAAAGCAAACCCAUCUGUUUGCAGACAUCUGGUAACCAUUCUAUGCCUGUGUCAGAGGAGAGCACUGGUGGGAAGGAAGGUGUACCCUUGCACACGUGGACACAUUUGAAUCUGGACAGAUUUUUUCCUCUAGGUGAGGGGAUACAUCUCUCAUGCAAUAAGAUCAUGAACUGCCUGUCCUGCUUCCUUUUAGCCCACUCUGUGCUCCUGCUAAGUUCUCAUAUUCCCUUGAGAAAAACACAGCAAGAACAAGACAUUUUGUGAAAAAUGUCCAGUAAGAAAUUUUUCUGGUUAGGUCUAUUCUCAUUCUCCAAGAAAUGCCAGAUACUCUAUUUUAUAGAGUUUCUCGUUCCAUAGCCCUUGCACAUCACAGACAUGUUGAUACUUGUUGCCUCAUACACCAGUGUAAAUGAAUUCUGGUUAUAUAAUUGCAGUUCUUAUUUUCCUGUUCCAGGUAAGCACCACGGGCCGAGUAGCAUUCUAUAGUCAUUUCUUGAAGUUAAAUAAAGAGCAAUUCAUGGUGCCUGGAAAUCUAGAAAUCUAGAAUGUUCUGUGGCAUCUUCUGCUCUUGUUGUCUAAGUUAACUUUAUCUGCUUUUCACUGAAAGUUGAAAUAUUUGUGCUAGAAUUGUAAUUAAUUAGUUGGAAAAGUUAUGAAAUUGUGUUUUAACUUUCUAUCUCUUAAAGCAAAGAGAAAGAAUAAUUUUGCUUGGAAUGAUUAAUCUUUAAUGACUUAAGUAGAUUUUGGAAACUUUCAGAAUAGACAAAGUUCAAAUCUUGACAAGUGCUUGUAUUUCAAUCUUUAAAAUAAUACACUCCCAUAGGGGAGAUAUCUGCUCAACUGCAUCAUUUCCAGAAUGCAGAAUGCUUAGAGUUCUUAGGUUGAAAAUGUGUGGUAAAUGCGCCUAUGUAUAAGAUAUGAAUCAGGAGAUGAUCCUGAAUUUUGUGGGAGACUGCCUGAAGUUGAAGGUUAAUGCAAAGUGGGAACAAGCAGCUAAUUGUGUUUCUGAGCUUUUUUAAUUGUUAAAACUUUGAAUAAAACAUAACACAGAGACCUAAACCACACAGCUGAGCAAUCCUUUCAGUUCUGUUGGGGCAAAAAGAUGAUAUCACUAAAAAUAAAUAUGAAUAAAUACAGCAUAUCAUAAAUUGUUUUAGUUAAAUAUCUCAUGUAAGAGUUUUAAAGUUCAGUGAAAACUUAACUGAGAAAUUCUUUUUUAAAAGUUGAAAAUAUAACUCCUGAAUCCUGUAGCAUUAGAGGAAAUGCUGGGGAAAAAUCUGUGAAUAUAGAGUUCAGAUCACAACAGGGCCUGUCACUGAUGCUGUUUCAGGGGCUUGGCUGGGUGCUGGGAAUGCAACAUCUUAGGGACAUUGAUUGAAUCACAGAAUGGUUUGGACUGGAAUGGACCUUAAAGCCCAUCCAGUGCCACCCCUGCCAUGGGCAGGGACACUUUCCACUGUCCCAGGCAGCUGCAAGCCCCAAUGUCCAACCCGGCCUUGGGCACUGCCAGGGAUCCAGGGGCAGCCACAGCUGCUCUGGGCACUCUGUGCCAGGGCCUGCCUACAUUCCCAGGGAACAAUCCCAGCUCUCCCAGCAGAGAUAGUCUGGAAUAUAGAACACCAUUGUCAGUGUAGUCCUGCAGUGAUAACUCUAAUCAACCUACCAAAAUACUACUACAGAAACGUAUUAUUAAUAACCAAGAAACUUCCAGUUAUGAAGUCAGGAAUGGCAGAUUUGAUAUAAGGUGAUGAGAUAAUGCACGACUACUAAAAAAACAAAUGUAAACA